UGUUAGCUUUAUACCUGCAUCAGUGUAUAUAGAAGUAAUAUUAUUCUGACUAGUUCUGAUCUUCCACUAAGCAUGGAAAUAUUUUGUGUUUGCAUCUCCACAUUCUAUCCAACAAGCCUUUGAUUUCUGCCUCAUAAUUUGAUCUUCUACAAUGCUCCAUUUCUCAAUGUCAUUAAGAGCUGCUUUCUCCUCUUUAAACAGCUGCUCUGAAAAUGGAUUAUGUAGCAACUGAUUUUGUAUGAUAUCCAGUGAUUCCCUAGCAUGGAUUAGCCUCUGUUUGUAGGAAGCCAUAUGGAUGUUCAGUUCUUUUAAGUGCUGUUUCAAGUUCUUCAAUUUAUACCAUAUCUGUUGCAAAGGUGGUCCUUCACACUUCUGACCCCAUACCUGCUGCAGAA
rnacentral:lncRNA from 1 species